rnacentral:rRNA from 1 species
UACGUAGGGUGCGAGCGUUAAUCGGAAUUACUGGGCGUAAAGCGUGCGCAGGCGGUUCGUUGUGUCCGAUGUGAAAGCCCCGAGCUCAACUUGGGAAUGGCAUUGGAAACUGGCGGGCUGGAGUGUGGCAGAGGGGGGUGGAAUUCCACGUGUAGCAGUGAAAUGCGUAGAGAUGUGGAGGAACACCGAUGGCGGAAGGCAGCCCCCUGGGCCAACACUGACGCUCAGGCACGAAAGCGUGGGGGAGCAAACAGG